GCCUUCGUGGUGUAAUGGUCAGCACGCUGAACCGGUAUUUCAGAGGUCCGUGGUUCGAUCCCCGGCGAAGGCA
rfam:Stegodyphus mimosarum contig67958, whole genome shotgun sequence.